rnacentral:lncRNA from 1 species
AGGAUUUCCAGGCUCUUUCUGAAGGACCCUGCUGCAGACACGUCUCGGUUCCAGCGUCUUUGAGGAGGCACAUUGGCGGUUGGCAUCUCUUUCCAACUGUCAGCUCAGUGUUACAGCGUGCUUUCUUCCCGCUGACAUCAUUUCUAGGAAUAGACACCAAUUACCACCCCAAACCCGGCGCCGAGCAGGAAAUGAAGUGGCAUAUGAUUCGAUUCUGACGAGUGAGAGUCUGUGCAGUACCCAGCAGGCACGAGCCCCUUUCUGGGAUGUUUUUCCCACUGUAUCUUUUCAUGCAAAUGCCAACCUGCUGGGUCGGCAACUUUCAGAGGCCGCUGCAGCUGCGACAUGGGGCAGUUGGCCUUUUAUUUCCGUUAAGAUUCGGGGGUG